CAAAAACAUAGCUUUUUGACACCCCAUAAAAAGUGUUUUCCUGCCCAGUGACUAAUUAAACGGCCGCGGUACCCUAACCGUGCAAAGGUAGCAUAAUAACUUGCCCAUUAAUUGUGGGCUAGAAUGAAUGGAUAAACAAAAUAUCGACUGUCUCAGUUUAACAAAUAUAAAUUAUUCUUCAGUUGAAGAAAACUGAAUAAAGUUGAAAGACAAGAAGACCCUACAGAGCUUCAUCUAAAAUGGUAAACCUUACAAGAAUUGGUUGGGGCGACCAGGGAAUAAAAAUCACCCCUGUGAAUUAGAAUAAUUAUUCGAAUCUAUGACCCCUAUAAGAACAAAAAUAAAGCUACCUUAGGGAUAACAGGCUAAUCCCAUUAAAAAGCUCUUAUUAACAAUGGGGUUUGGCACCUCGAUGUUGGCUUAGGGUACCACUUAAAUGCAGAAGUUUAAUAACGGUGGUUUGUUCAACCAUUAAACCCCUACGUGAUCUGA
rnacentral:rRNA from 1 species